rnacentral:tRNA from 2 species
CUCCCCAUAGUUUAACUGGAUAAAACAGGGCCCUCCUAAGGCUUAGCUCCAGGUUCGAGUCCUGGUGGGGAGACCA